GUAGGGAAUAUUGCGCAAUGGGGGAAACCCUGACGCAGCAACGCCACGUGUGGGAAGAAGCAUUUCGGUGUGUAAACCACUGUCGAGAGGGAAUAAAAAUGGGUUUCGGCCUAUCUGAAUGUACCUCUAAAGGAAGCACCGGCAAACUUCGUGCCAGCAGCCGCGGUAAUACGAGGGGUGCAAGCGUUGUUCGGAAUCACUGGGCGUAAAGGGAGCGUAGGUGGAAUUGCAAGUUAACCGUGCAAUCCCGGGGCCCAACCCCGGACUCGCGGUUAAGACUGUGGUUCUUGAGUUGUUCAGAGGUAGACGGAAUUCCUGGUGUAGCGGUGGAAUGCGUAGAGAUCAGGAAGAACACCGAUGGCGAAGGCAGUCUACUGGGGACCAACUGACACUGAGGCUCGAAAGCGUGGGUAGCAAACAGGAUUAGAAACCCCAGUAGUCC
rnacentral:rRNA from 1 species